GGCGCUAAUCCGCUUGGUGCGGGGCAUGCCUGCAAAACAUGCUCACUUGAGUUCGAAUCUCACUAGCGCCU
rnacentral:tRNA from 1 species